UUUAGUGGAAGGAGACGUCAUAAUAAGGUUUUCGUAGGUGAACCUGCAGAAGGAUCAUUGUCGAGGCCCAUCGAGCAGUGAGACCCGCGAACUGAUGACCCUAACGAGACGCGGGUGGCUCGGGGAGUGCAGCUCCUCCCGCUCUCCCGGGGGACCACGCGGCGAACCACCCCCGGCACAAUGGGCGCCAAGGAAUUGAGUUGGAAUGAGCGCGGCUCCCUUCGGGGAUGCCAGUGCGUGUUUGAAACUUACAUGACUCUCGGCAACGGAUAUCUCAACUCUCGCAUCGAUGAAGUAUGUAGCAAAAUGCAAUACUUGGUGUGAAUGGUAGAAUCCCAUGAACCAUCAAGUCUUUAAACGCAAGUUGCGCCUGAGCCCACCCCGCUAAGGGCACGCCUACCUGGGCGUCAUGCACUGUGCUACCCCACUUGGUGCUCGACCCAUUCGGCGGUGGUGCCGCGGGGUGGAGACUGGACACCCACGCGUGACCGACUGAAAAGCAUUCGCUCCCCGGCUGGGGAGCAGAUGCUAUGGAAAGUAGUUUAAGAGGCGGCUGCCUCGUCAGAGCCUGCACGCCGCGUCCGUCGCAAGCAGAGAGAAGUGACACACAACUCGCCCGCCCCGAGCGGCCUUGGCACAGCGACCCCAAGUCAGGUGGGGACACCUGCUGAGUUUAAGCAUAUC
rnacentral:misc_RNA from 1 species